GACGAACGCUGGCGGCAUGCCUAAUACAUGCAAGUCGAGCGAACGGAUGAAGUGCUUGCACUUCUGACGUUAGCGGCGAACGGGUGAGUAACACGUAAGGAAUCUACCUAUAAGCGGGGGAUAACAUUCGGAAACGGGUGCUAAUACCGCAUAAUAUCUUCUUCCGCAUGGAAGAAGAUUGAAAGACGGCUCUGCUGUCACUUAUAGAUGACCUUGCGGUGCAUUAGUUAGUUGGUGGGGUAAGGGCCGACCAAGACGAUGAUGCAUAGCCGACCUGAGAGGGUGAGCGGCCACAUUGGGACUGAGACACGGCCCAAACUCCUACGGGAGGCAGCAGUAGGGAAUUUUCCGCAAUGGGCGAAAGCCUGACGGAGCAAUGCCGCGUGAGUGAAGAAGGCCUUCGGGUCGUAAAACUCUGUUAUAAGAGAAGAACAAAUUGUAGAGUAACUGCUACAGUCUUGACGGUAUCUUAUCAGAAAGCCACGGCUAACUACGUGCCAGCCGCCGCAGUAA
rnacentral:rRNA from 1 species